rnacentral:lncRNA from 1 species
AACCGGGUCAGGUGACUUCCCCAGGAUCACACAGUGAGGCCAUAUUUGAACUGCAGAAGGUGAGGAAACUGAGGCAAA